GUGAGCCCAGAGGCAGCAGCUGGGGGCAGUUUGCUGGGGGCCAGCACAGCCCUUCGUGCAGAGCAGCACUGAUCUGCAUGGGGACUGUUGCUCUACUCCGGUGUUUCACGUCCCAGCAGACUUUCAUGCCACGCAGAGCCUCUGCCCUGGAGUCCUGCUGUCUGCUGCUAUGGGAUGGCAACUGAGAUGUAACAGCAAAACCCAGAGAAGGAGCACAGAAGGAAUUUUUGUGAAGAGCCGAAAGGAAUGUUUACAGUCAGGUGAAUUUUCGGUUUAAAUGAGAAGAAAAUAAAAAGUUUGAUCCAAGCAAAGGUAAUCUAUUU